GUCCUUUUGAUUUUUAUUUAAGGUCUGACCUGCCCACUGAUUUAUUUAAUGGCCGCGGUAUUUUGACCGUGCAAAGGUAGCAUAAUAAUUUGUCUUUUAAUUGAAGGCUUGUAUGAAUGGUUGGACGAGAAAAUUACUUUCUUUAUAAUAAAAUGAUUAAUUUUAUUUUUUAGUUAAAAAGCUAAAAUUCUGUUGUAGGACGAGAAGACCCUAUAGAACUUUAUAUUUAUUUAAGUAUUAAUAUUUUUGGUUAAUGAUAUGUUGUAUUUUUAUAAAUAUUUUGUUGGGGCGACAAGAAAAUUUAUUUAACUUUUUUUUAUCAAUUUCAUUAAUUAAUGUGUAAAUGAUCCUUUAUUAUGGAUAAUUAGAAUAAGUUACCUUAGGGAUAACAGCGUAAUUUUUUUGGAGAGUUCUUAUCGAUAAAAAAGUUUGCGA
rnacentral:rRNA from 1 species